AUACGUAGGUGACAAGCGUUAUCCGGAUUUACUGGGCGUAAAGGGCGUGUAGGCGGUCUUGCAAGUCAGAGGUGAAAUUCCUGAGCUCAACUCGGGCGCUGCUUCUGAAACUGCAGGACUUGAGUGCUGGAGGGGAUAGCGGAAUUCCUAGUGGAGCGGUAAAAUGCGCAGAUAUUAGGAAGAACACCGGUGGCGCAGGCGGCUAACUGGACAGUAACUGACGCUGAGGCGGGAAAGCGUGGAGAGCAGACAGGAUUAGAUACCCGGGUAGUCCACGCCGUAAACGGUGAAUAGUAGGUGUAGGGGGUAUCGAAUCCCUCUGUGCCGCAGUUAACACAAUAAGGAUUCCGCCUGGGGAGUACGGCCGCAAGGUUGAAACUCAAAGGGAUUGACGGGG
rnacentral:rRNA from 1 species